GAGUUUGAUCAUGGCUCACGAUGAACGCUGGCGGCGUGCCUAACACAUGCAAGUCGAACGGGAACCCUUGGAUUCGUCUGGGGGGGAGAGUGGCAAACGGGUGAGUAACACGUUGGUGACCUGCCCCAAAGAGGGGAAUAACCACUGGAAACGGUGGCUAAUACCCCAUGUGGUCUGUCGGUCGGACGGCAGAUUAAAGCGCCCCAUUAGGGGCUGCGCUUUGGGAGGGGCCUGCGGCCCAUCAGGUAGUUGGUAGGGUAAUGGCCUACCAAGCCGAUGACGGGUAGGGGGCGUGAGAGCGUGAUCCCCCACACUGGCACUGAGACACGGGCCAGACUCCUACGGGAGGCAGCAGUGAGGAAUAUUGCCCAAUGGACGCAAGUCUGAGGCAGCAACGCCGCGUGGGUGAUGAAGGCCUUCGGGUUGUAAAACCCUUUUCUGGGGACGAGAAAGGACGGUACCUCAGGAUAAGUCACGGCUAACUACGUGCCAGCAGCCGCCGCCGU
rnacentral:rRNA from 1 species